GAUGAACGCUGGCGGCGUGCCUAAUACAUGCAAGUCGAGCGAACAGACGAGGAGCUAGCUACUCUGACGUUAGCGGCGGACGGGUGAGUCACACGUGGAUAACCUACCUAUAAGACUGGGAUAACUUCGGGAAACCGGAGCUAAUACCGGAUAAUAUAUUGAACCGCAUGGUUCAAUAGUGAAAGACGGUUUUGCUGUCACUUAUAGAUGGAUCCGCGCCGCAUUAGCUAGUUGGUAAGGUAACGGCUUACCAAGGCAACGAUGCGUAGCCGACCUGAGAGGGUGAUCGGCCACACUGGAACUGAGACACGGUCCAGACUCCUACGGGAGGCAGCAGUAGGGAAUCUUCCGCAAUGGGCGAAAGCCUGACGGAGCAACGCCGCGUGAGUGAUGAAGGUCUUCGGAUCGUAAAACUCUGUUAUUAGGGAAGAACAAAUGUGUAAGUAACUAUGCACGUCUUGACGGUACCUAAUCAGAAAGCCACGGCUAACUACGUG
rnacentral:rRNA from 1 species